GGGCUUGACUGGAUUUGACGGCAAGAUGAGAUGGUGUGUAAGCAUGCGGAGUGACGACUGUGAACUCCAUAAACCCUUCGGUCAUAAAUUUAAUUGGCAACAAUCAGUAUGCUCUCGCAGCCUAACCGAAGUAUAGUAGGUUACUCGGCUUAAUUCCCUUGCAAGGCGAGGGAACGGGACGUCGCUCCGAGGAUGUUGUUCCGAAUUGCUCGGGCUCAGCGGCGCAGAAUAAUCGGAAAUAGCCUUGCGGCUUCUCCGUCCAAGAGGUGAAGUUUUUAGGAGAUAAGGCUGUGGUUGGUGGCUCGGGUCUUGCCACAGCACGAAAAUGCAGGCCGAGAUAAGCAUGUAGAAAGCACAUGGUUUCCUUGUGCGGACGUGGGUUCGAAUCCCACCAGGUCCACU
rnacentral:tmRNA from 1 species